GACGAACGCUGGCGGCGUGCUUAACACAUGCCAGUCGAACGGAAAGGCCCUGCUUUUGUGGGGUGCUCGAGUGGCGAACGGGUGAGUAACACGUGAGUAACCUGCCCUUGACUUUGGGAUAACUUCAGGAAACUGGGGCUAAUACCGGAUAGGAGCUCCUGCUGCAUGGUGGGGGUUGGAAAGUUUCGGCGGUUGGGGAUGGACUCGCGGCUUAUCAGCUUGUUGGUGGGGUAGUGGCUUACCAAGGCUUUGACGGGUAGCCGGCCUGAGAGGGUGACCGGCCAAAUUGGGACGGAGAUAGGGCCCAGAAUCCUACGGGAGGCAGCAGUGGGGAAUAUUGCACAAUGGGCGGAAGCCUGAUGCAGCAACGCCGCGUGCGGGAUGACGGCCUUCGGGUUGUAAACCGCUUUCGCCUGUGACGAAGCGUGAGUGACGGUAAUGGGUAAAGAAGCACCGGCUAACUACGUG
rnacentral:rRNA from 1 species